GGAGGCGGCAAAAUCUGACGAUUGGUGUAAGGCCAUGGAUGAAGAAAUUGCGGCGCUAGAGAAAAAUAAUACCUGGGAGUGUUAAGGAUUUUAUAGGUUGGCGAAUUUCGUAAAGUUGUUUGGAGUCUUGAAGAGUUGAUCGCAGAAGUUUUUGAGAAGAGAUUCAAAUUGAAGGACGAAGACUCAUUCGGAAAUAUCGACACCUAAGGUAUGAAGAAAAGAUCAUUUGUGGUGAAGAUACAUAAUUAGAAUAAGUUCAGAAGGCUUAGAUUGUUUUUAAACAACUUUUCUGAACUUUCUUGUGUUCUGGGACCGGUCUCUGAGAUGGAGAGACCGGUUCCCCCAAGGUCCUCACUGAGUAAACCAUGAUGCAACCGGUCCCCUGUGAUGAGAGACCGGUUCCCGAACCUUGGUGAUUCUGUCGCGCAGCGAGGGACAGGUCUCAAGUUUGAGAGACCGGUUCCCGAACGUUGGGUUUUUGGUCACGCAGGGAGGGACCGGUUCCUCACUUGAGAGACCGGUCUCUCACAGACCGGUCUUCUCGAGAGGACCGGUCUCUGAGGACGACACAGGUUUUUGAAAACGACUUUUUGCAAUCCUAGUCUACUUCUAAGUCUUCUAAACAUAUAAAUAAGCUAUGUGGGUCAUCUAAAAUUAAGGCUUUGAAUAUUUUACCAAUUCUAAACCCUAGAAACUUGUUUCUCCCCGUUUCAAUGCUUAGAUUUACAUGAUGAGUUUCUAGUAAUCAACAUCGGCUUGAUUCUUCGUUUUUACUCGAUACUUCUUACGAGAAUCAAGUAGAUGAUUGAUUAAAGGUGAACCCUCAUAGCUUAUGGUUUUCAAAAGUUAAAUCACCACAAAUCUUCAAUUCUAAAAGCUCCGGAAGGAGGAGGAUUCGGUGGAUGCUUCGAGGAGUUGAGGCGUUGACGCUGCGAGGAGUUGCAGCAAGGUCGAUUGGUGGAUUCCUAUCGAUCGAGGACCGGCAAAGAUCACCGUCAACGAGAAAUCGGUAAAUUGAGUCGUGUGUUUUUGACGAAAUCACUUGUACUCAAGUUUUCUUAGUGGAUUUUCUUUGCGUGAUCGGUCCCGUGGGUUUUUCACUCCGAAUUGGAGUUUUCCCACGUUAAAUUCUCGGUGUGCUGUUUUAAUUUCCGCUAUUUUGUCUUAUUUGCAUCGAGAUUUUUUGAGUUUGCCGGAUUUACACCUAUUCACCCCCCUCUAGGUGUUACUUACCUUUAGAUCCUCGGGAUCCAUAUCUUACAAGUGGUAUCAGAGCGGGUAUAGGUUGUAACUCAUGGUUGAGGGCGGUAACAUCAAUCGACCCCCGCUCUUCGAUGGAACUAACUAUGCUUAUUGGACAGUCCGUAUGAGGGCGUUUCUUAUUGCUAUCGACGAGCGGGUUUGGCAAGCCAUUGAAUUCGGAUGGAAAAAUCCUACCGAAGUUGUCGAGAAUGUUACCGUGCCAAAACCUAGGAAUAAAUGGACGAAAGAGAAAAAUGAACUAUCUUCGUUCAACGGGAAAGGUAUCAAUGCUUUAUUCAAUGCUUUAAACCAAACUGAAUUUUCUCGCGUCUCGGCAUGCGAAACCGCCAAAGAGAUUUGGGACACUUUGCGAGUUACACAUGAGGGUACAAGUUUGGUUAAGAUUCAAAAAUUGCAAAUGCUUACUAGCAGAUUUGAUUCCAUUCGUAUGGAAGAACAUGAAUCUUUUACCGAGUACUAUACUCGUUUGCAAGACAUUGUAAACACGUGUACUAACUUGGGCGAGAAAAUUCCCGAUUCCAAAAUUGUUCGAAAAAUUUUGAGAACCCUUCCCGAACGAUUCCGUCCUAAGGUUGCGGCUAUUGAAACGGUCAAACAUCCUGAUGAACUCAAAGUAGAAGAAUUAAUAGGUGCUCUUCAAACUUAUGAAAUGACUUUUCCAUCUAAUUCAUCUUCUUCCAAGUCUUUCUCUAAAGCCUCAGGGAUGGCUCUAAAAUCAACAAAAGGAGAUGUUUCUUCAACCUCAUCAGAUUCAGAGUCGGAGCAAAGCUUGGAGGACUUUGAAAAACAACUUGCACUUUUAACAAAGAAGUUUCGUCGGAACUUUAGAAAGAAGUUUCCUCCCAAGUCUACUUCAUCAAAGUCAAACAGAUCUAAAGGGGGUCCGUCUUCUUCUUCCUCGUCAAAAUACAAAAAAUCGGAUAACUCUCAAAAGGACUCCACAAAAGAGAGGAAAAGCGGUGAAGGUCAAAUUCAAUGCUACAAGUGUAGGGGCUUUGGCCAUAUAGCAUCUGACUGUCCCAAUAAAAAGUCGUUGAAGAAUAAAGCUAUGCAAGCUAUGACUUGGGACGACUCCUCAUCUGACGAUUCUACUUCGAGUGAAGAGGAUGUGAAUGCCACAGCACUGUUUGCACAGUAUUCAACCUUCAUGUGUCUAGCAUCUGCUGACUCGAUUUCUACGAUAUCUAUACAAAAGAAGUCAUCUUCGGAGAACUCAUCGGAUGAAGAAUCGGACGAAGAUGACAUGGUCGCAGCAUAUCAACAAUUAGUUGUUGAAUCAAAGAAGAUGGCUAAACAUAACAAGAAACUGCGGCGUAGUCUACAUGAGUUGGAACAAGAAAAUUCAAAGUUGGCCUCUCUAACAAAGGAUUUAGAACAAGAGAGAGAUGGGUUGACCAAGGCUUACAAUUCUUUGCUUGAGAAGUGUUCGUUACUUGAAAAAGAAAAGGAGACACAGGCAGAGAACAUCAAUUAUCUUACCAAGCAAAACUCUGAAGCUAGAGAAGCAAAUAUGGAAUUCACCAAGACGAUCAUUCAACUGAAGUCGGAUUUGAACCAAUUUUCAUCUGGCUCGAGCAAACUAGAUAAGAUGCUUGGACUUGGUCAGACAAAUAAACUUGGACUUGGUUAUGAACGGACAUAUAUUGAUCAAGUUAUGAAGAAGGAUGAUGGAAACUCGUCAACUGCUGUACCUAAACUUUAUGGUAAGUUUGUCUCUCCUAAAAACAAUUUGGCUAACAAAACUUGUCAUAUUUGUGGUGUUUUAGGACACAUAAAGAAAUUCUGCUACCAAAAGGGAAAAAGCUCAGUAGCUCUCUUGAAGAGUGACCCUAAAACGACAAUGAAGUCAAUUGUGACUCCAAAGAAGAUAGAACAAAAGAAGAGCCAAAUUCGGACUCCAAAUACUCCGAAGCCAAAGGCAAAACAAGCAUGGAAACCAAAGAAGGAGGAUAUGAAGAGGAAGUCAAUUCAAAUCGUCAACAAGCCACGAUCAACAAAAGCAAGCGAACUGACACAACCCAAAACACGUAAGGUUUGGGUGCGCAAAGGUGAACUCUUCCCAUGUCUAGUCAUUCACACCUCACUUCAUGCUUACGAUAACUCAUCUUGGUAUCUGGAUAGUGGUUGUUCCCAUCACAUGACCGGAGAUAAAAAUUGGUUUACUUCUUUGACCAAAAUCUCCGGAGGACUUGUUGUUUUUGGGGACGGUCGAUCGUCAAAAAUUGUUGGAAAAGGAACAGUGACUAUCUCAGAUGGCCCUACAUUGAAUGAUGUUUUUUAUGUUGAAGGGCUUAAAUCUAAUCUCGUAAGCAUAAGCCAACUGUGUGAUGAUGGGUAUUCUGUGAACUUUUCUGAUAAAGAAUGCCAUGUGACUCGUGAUGACAAUCUAUUCUUAAAGGGCAUUAGAUCUCAGAAUAAUUGUUAUGUUGUUCCUAGUUCGGCCACUGAACAUUGUAACCUAGCAUCAUUAGAAACUGAAACCUUAUGGCAUGAACGACUAGGUCACAUCAAUUUUAAGGAGCUAUCUAAGAUAACCAAGAAGGAGGUAGUUAGAGGUGUACCUAAGAUUGACUAUAAAGAGAACACUGUGUGUGGGGGUUGCCAAUUAGGGAAACAAACUAGAUCCACACAUAAGAACUUGAACCACUUAGGGACAACUAAACCUCUAGAGUUACUUCACAUGGACUUGAUGGGACCAUCUAGGAUUCAAAGUUUGGGUGGAAAACGUUAUAUUUUGCUUAUUGUUGAUGAUUUUACUCGCUAUGUAUGGAGUGCUUUCUUACGAGAAAAAGCUGAUACUUUUAAUUCUUUUUCUGAAAUCUGUCUCCGUCUUAUGACUGAACGAAAUGAUAAAAUUGUACGCAUUCGAAGCGAUCAAGGGGGAGAAUUCAUAAAUUCUAAAUUUGUUGAUUUCUGUGUUUCAAACGGUAUAAAACAUGAAUUCUCGGCCCCCUAUACACCCCAACAAAACGGAGUGGUUGAACGUAAGAAUCGGGUUGUACAGGAGAUGGCUCGUGUUAUGCUUCAUAGUAAGAAAAUUGCUUUACAUUUUUGGGCCGAAGCAGUUAACACAGCUGUCUAUGUUAUCAAUCGGAUUUAUGUACGUCCGGGCACUUUGAAUACGCCUUAUGAACUUUGGCUUGGUAGAAAACCUAAUAUUAAAUACUUUCGUGUCUUCGGGAGUAAAUGUUUUAUCCUUCGGGAUCGUGAAAAUCUUGGAAAAUUUGACUCUCGCAGUGAUGAAGGCAUAUUUCUUGGUUAUUCUACUACAAGUCGUGCUUAUCAUGCGUACAAUUUACGAUCUAAGACGGUGAUAGAGUCUAUCAAUAUAAAAGUAGAUGAAGCUUCUUCUGUAAGUUCUUCUGUGAAUGGUUCUUCUAAUUCUUUGAUGAAUGACGAUGAUAAUGAUUCUCCGUUUGUAAUGCCUGUGAAUGAUGAUGUUUCUAUACCUGAUAAUUCCAUUGCAUCUUCUGAUAACAUUGCAUCAAAUGAUUCAUCUGAGCCACAAAAUACCACGCCUGAAAUCCCUAGCGGAUCUCCUGAAACUAUUCCCCUGACUGAGUCAAGAGAUCAUCCUUUGUCAAAUGUGAUUGGGGACCCUAAUGUUGGUGUGCGAACAAGGAGUCAAUUACAAUGUGAAUUUGCAUGUUAUGUUUCUUUGAUUGAGCCAAAGAAUGUUGAUGAAGCUCUUGUUGAUGAAUAUUGGAUAAAUGCCAUGCAAGAAGAACUUGGUCAAUUUGUUCGCAAUGAUGUAUGGGAAUUGGUGCCUCGUCCUGAGCAACAACACAUUAUUGGUACCAAAUGGAUCUUUAAGAAUAAGAAAAAUGAGGAUGGUACUAUCGUGCGGAACAAAGCCAGACUUGUAGCUCAGGGGUACUCUCAAAUUGAGGGAAUAGACUUUGAAGAAACCUUUGCUCCGGUUGCCCGUCUUGAAUCUAUUCGUAUCUUGUUCGCGAUUGCUUGUCAUUUUAAAAUCACGCUCUUUCAAAUGGAUGUCAAAAGUGCGUUUUUAAAUGGAUUUUUAAAAGAGGAAGUUUAUGUUGAACAACCGAAAGGUUUUAUAGACUCAAAAUUUCCAAAUCAUGUUUUUCGACUGAAAAAGGCACUUUAUGGACUAAAACAAGCUCCGCGAGCGUGGUACGAACGUUUAACAAAAUAUCUUUUGGAAAAGGGCUAUAACCGAGGGGGAGCAGAUAGAACUCUUUUUGUGAAGCAUCUGAAGAAUAAUUUCAUUGUAGCACAAAUAUAUGUGGAUGACAUAGUUUUUGGGGCUACUAAAGAUAAGGAUGCCGCUGAUUUUGCAAAAUUAAUGACUAGUGAGUUUGAGAUGUCAAUGAUGGGAGAACUUAAUUAUUUCCUCGGGCUUCAAGUCAAACAAUCAAAAGAUGGAAUUCAUUUGUCACAGACAAAGUAUGCAAAGGAACUAGUUAAGAAAUUCGGAUUAGAAAGUGCAAAGGAUUUUGACACUCCGAUGGGUACAAGCAACAAAGGAUUAGGAAUGAACUCAGAAGGUCAGAGUGUGGAUGAGAAACAAUACAGAAGCAUGAUUGGUAGCCUCUUGUAUCUAACUGCGAGCAGACCUGAUAUUGCGUUUAGUGUUGGAAUAUGUGCUCGUUAUCAGGCUAAUCCUAAGGAAAUACACUUGAAAGCAGUUAAAAGGAUUAUUCGAUAUGUUAAAGGAACAACCGAGUAUGGACUAUGGUAUCCUAAGGGAACGUCGCUUGACCUAAUCGGCUACUCAGAUGCUGACUGGGCAGGCUCCGCAGAUGAUCGGAAAAGUACUAGUGGGGCUUGUUUUUACAUCGGACAUUGUUUGGUUGCUUGGCACAGUAAGAAGCAAAAUUGCAUUGCUCUUUCCACUGCAGAAGCUGAAUACAUUGCAGCUGGAAGUUGCUCUACUCAAUUAAUUUGGAUGAAAAGCUUACUAAGCGACUAUCGGAUUCCUUCUACCACUCUGACUAUUCUGUGUGACAACACGAGUGCAAUUAAUAUUUCUAAAAACCCUGUUUUACAUUCUCGAACAAAACAUAUUGAACUAAGAUAUCAUUUUUUAAGAGAACUGGUAGAAUCAAACGUUUUACAACUUGAAUACAUUUCAACUGAAAAUCAACUUGCAGAUAUUUUAACCAAACCUUUGGAUCAAAAACGUUUUCUGCAUUUAAGAAAGGCAAUUGGUAUGAACCCAUCAAUCUAGAUAUAUUCUAUUGAGCCACAGAUCAUGUGCAUGUUGCAUAUUUUGUUUCUUUUCUUGCAUGCUUUUCGGUGUUUAAGGGUUGAUUGAUUUUCUUGCUUGAUGUUGCCGUUUUGGGAAAUGAGUUGAUCUGUGAAUUUAAGUAUUUCAUAUUUAAGUUUUGAUUGAUCAAUGUCAGGGUUAUUCUCUAUUGACAUAUUUUUGAACGAUCAAAUCAUUGAAAUUCUAUUUAACAUAUUGAAUCAAAUUCAGCACCUCAUGCUUCGAACUUUGAAUAUUGCAAUUGUUUGUUUGAUUAUUAGUUUUGAGAUGAAUAAAUCUUUCUCUAUUUUUGAAAUUGCGAUAAUAUUUUUGACUUGAGGGUUGCACUAAUUUAGGGGGAGUCUUGCCGAUUUUAGCUAUGAAAAUUUAUGAAAUUCAAGAUGUGGAAAGAGUUACAUCCCCGCUGGGAGUGUGAAAACUACCACCACAUGGAGGAAAGAGCUACCACCCCGGUCGUCCGGUCAGUGUGUGCAGCUACCACAUGAUGAUGAAUAUAUCUCUAUGAGCUAAAAGCCAAUAAAGAAUGAAUCAAUAUGAGAUGUUGUGGAGAUGGUAACAUUCUAUGUUUAAUACAUCUCCUAGGCGAUAUAAGGUGGUUUGUUAAAAGAUGCUCAAAGAGCCACUCUUAUCUCGAAUUAUGUGCAUAACUCAAGUUGAGAAUAUUCUUUUAAUUUCAUGAUUAUGAGAUUUAUUUAUUCAAUUUCUUAACAAAUAUGAUGAUAAAAUGAUACAAUUUAUCCCUAGAUCUUGCAUGAUGUGUGGAAUUUUAUUUGAUACUUAUCAAGAAUUUUAUUUGAUUUUCGGAUCAACAAUAUUUGCCAAAUUGAAUAUCUUUGAGAUUGUUUUUCAAAAUUUAUUUAUGAAAUUUUAUUGAAGUCUUUGGGGAUGGAUAUUGUGUAUUUUUGAUGUUGGAUAUGUUGAGGAUAUUAUAUAAAUUUUCUGAAAAUUCUAGAUAAAAUUUUGUGUUUUAGGUUUUGGCUCUGGGACCGGUCCCAGACUUGGAGAGACCGGUCCCUCCGCCCGAACCGAUAUAAGGGUUUUGCGGUCUGUUUCUUUUUACUUUACCAAUUUCAUUCAAACUUCUCCCCAGAGCUUCUAAUAUCCACAGGGUGAUUUUGCUUCCAUUCUUCAUCAAUUUCUACUUAUUUUUGGUAUGAUACUCGGAUUUUGUUUCAUUAUUGUUUUAUAAUCCGAAUUUGUGCUUUAUUCUCAGUUUUUGAGGAUUUGAUCUCAUAAUGUUGUUCAAUCUCUUCAUUUUUGUCCUGAUCUUACUUCUAGACAUGUUGAUCAACUUUUUCAUGCAUUGUUACAUACUUUGAUUUAAUUGAUUGGUUGUUUUUGCCAUAUUUUCUUCAUCAAAACCUACUUUUUCUCAUUUUUGCAAACUGUGGUUUUAUUUGUUUUUGAUGCUUGAUCUGUCCAUGUUUUUUCUUAGUUAUGUGGCUCUAGGUUAUCUAGGAUACAACAUAUCAAUUUGCUAAAGUGUUUGGAAUCACAAAAAUUUAGUGUUCUUAUGUUCAAUAUGUAUAUAUCAUUAUGUUCAACAGGAAAUUUUCGAAAAUGUACUCGUGGAUUCUCGUUCUAGUGGUUCUUAUGGCUGGAGGUGGUCGCGGUAGCAAGCGACAGCGCGCCUCAGCUAAGAGGCCGGUUGAGCAACAACCGGAAGAUGAAGGGAGUGAGUAUGCCCCGGGUGAUGAAUCUGAGGAGGACGAGCAGGAUUGGGAGACCUUUGUGCCUGAAGUGUUGGCUAAGGAAAAGGACGCUGGGAAAGGUAAGGGAAAAGGGAAAGCUGUGGAUAAAGGCAAAGGAAAAGACACUGAACGUCCCAGUCGUCGUAAGUCCGGGGGUGUUGAAAUUCGCGAACCGGGCUCUGAGCCACCACGUCGCAGUUUACAGGAUGUUCCAUCUAACCGACGGUCAAUGUAUUCGUCGAAACACUGCAUUGGUGAGUGCGAUGUUGGGGUGGCCAGUAUUAUUAGUUGUGUGCCUGGUUUUCAGGAUCUGUUUGAACAGGGGAAUCUUCAUCAGAUUUGUGAUUUUCCGGAGCAAACUGGUUAUUGUUUGGAGCUGAUCAGGGAAUUUUACAUGAGAGCAGGUCACCUCAGUGAUUCCGACGGGGGUCCGUACGUGUUCAAGACCUCUGUCCGUGGUGUUGAGUUAUCAAUCACUCCUGCGACUAUAGCUUCGGUGCUUGAGAUGGAAGCUAAGACUGAUGGAGUGGAGUAUUUGCAGGCUGGGUUCGACUCACUUCGUGAUUGGAACCGUGUCGUGAACACUAUCUGCAUGCCGGGUACUGAAUCAAACGGAAUUAUGGUUAUGUCCAAGGAUUUUAAAAUAGAGUACAGAUUUCUGAACUUUGUGGUUUGCUACAAUAUCAUGCCUCUUGCGAACACGAAAAUCUUGCGAUGGGAUCGGAUUCUGUACAUGUAUCUCUUGGGUAGGCCAGAUAUUGUAAGUGCUAAAAACAUUAACAUGAAUAUUCCGUUUCUUAUUUGGCGGCGGAUGGCGAAAGAUAUCAAAACCUCUGGGCAAAAUGAGAGGUUACCGUUUCCUAUGAUAAUUAUGCGGAUUUUGCGACUUCGUGAGGUUGAUGUUAGGUGUACAUCGUACGAGCACAGUUUGGGUCGGAUUAAUGAAAGGACGUUUGUGAAGUCCUCGGUGCAGCUUCGUACGCCGUCACAACGUGCUUCUUCCCCUCCUGCAGCUCCACCUCCUGCUACUGCUACUUCUUCCCGUCCUUCUAUGGAUAUUUCUGAGGAAGAUAUUUCCGUUUCUUCGGUUUAUCGCGAGCAGCAACGUCUAUCUGAGGAGCUUCAGAAGUUGUCUUCAGAACAAGCUGCGAUUCGUAAGGAUGUGAGCAAGAUGAAGCGCUUGUUGAAUAUGAUUUUUGACAAAUUGGGCUGUUGUCGGGCCGAUUUACCUCCAGGAGAUGAUUCUGACUAGAAUUUUCUGAGCUUCUCCUUUUGUCGUUUUGGCGCUUUCUGACAAAAAGGGGGAGAUGAUGGAAUGGAUGGAUGGUCUCUUAAUGAUGAUGAUGAUGCAUUUAGCUUAGGGCUUGGCUUUGCUUUGGCUUUGCUUAGUUAAGAUGAUGACUUUGUUUUAGGUGUUUGGUGUUUUCGUUUAGCUAAGCUAUGAACUAUGGAGUGUGAACUUUAGUUGAGUGUUUGAUCUUCUUGAUACUUGAUACUUCUUGAUACUUGAAUCUUGAUUAUGCCUUGAGAAUGUUUUUGCAGGAAUAAUUCAAGACUUCAAGACUCCAUGUCUAAGUCAUAGAGUUUGUAUUAAGGUCGUAAAAGUGUAAAUUUUGUUUAUUGGAUUGAUCAUGCAGGAGAUUAUCGUUUGGUGAUUGCGAUGAUCUUCUUUUUAUGACUUAUUGGUUGUAUACGAGCUUUGUAGUGUAUUUUGUCACGAAAUCGCCAAAGGGGGAGAUUGUUAAGGAUUUUAUAGGUUGGCGAAUUUCGUGAAGUUGUUUGGAGUCUUGAAGAGUUGAUCGCAGAAGUUUUUGAGAAAAGAUUCAAAUUGGAGGAUGAAGGCACAUUCGGAAAGAUCAACACUUAAGGUAUGAAGAAAAGAUUAUUUGUGGUGAAGAUA
rnacentral:lncRNA from 1 species